rnacentral:lncRNA from 1 species
ACGCUGGAUCCUUAACCCUCUGAGCGAGGCCAGGGAUCGAACUCACGUCCUCUUGAAUACUAGUCAGGUUCGUUACCGCUGAGCUACAAUGGGAACUCCCAGAAUAAUCUUACUUUUGCUUUUUAAAAAAAGAGCUUAUGCAUCUACAUGGAGAUGCAGGAUAUUUGAAAGGCAUAGAAAAAGCUGGGAGGAUACCUGACAAAUACACUUAACCUCUGAGCAGUGGGUUGAAGAGAAGGCAGAUAAAGGCACUCAGGUUUUUCCUUUUACACAGUUCUGUUCUGUAUUCUGCAUUUCCUAACAGACUCCAGACCUCGGGCAAGGCCUUGGGUUCAGAGCCCAGCCCAUCUCACAAGCUUUGUGACCCUGAGCAAGUUGGAACCUCUGCAAACCUCAGUUCCUUCGUUUAUAACGUGGGGAUCAUAGCCGCAGCCUCACGGAGCAGUGGUAAUCUUACUUAGGUGCUCAGGAAACAGUUAUUUCCCAGGCACUUUCUAUGCCUCAUACCUUGCGUGGUAUCUCCUUUUAUUUAUUUAUUUAUUGUCUUUUUGCUAUUUCUUGGGCCGCUCCUGCAGCAUAUGGAGGUUCCCAGGCUAGGGGUCUAAUUGGAGCUGUAGCCACCAGCCUACGCCAGAGCCACAGCAACGCGGGCUCCGAGCCGCGUCUGCCACCUACACCACAGCUCACGGCAAAGCCGGAUCAUUAACCCACUGAGCAAGGCCAGGGACCGAACCCGCAACCUCAUGGUUCCUAGUCGGAUUCAUUAACCACUGCGCCACGAUAGGAACUCCGUAUCUCCUUUUAAAGCAGCUGCUUCCUGGGGCAAAGGAACAUUAUUCCAGGGCGAAGGAAUAUUAUUGCAGAAUACUCAGGCACUUUAGAGCCUGAAGGGAAGGGCCCAGGGCUGAGGUAUUACAUUACAGAAAAAUGCGCAUACAGCUGACCCUUGAACAUCACGGGUUUGAACUGCAGUAGGGUUUUUUCCACAGUAAACGCUGCAGUACUGUAAUAUCCGAGGUGGGUUGAACCUCCAGGUGCAGAACCACAGGCUUGGAGGGCCAACUAUAAGUAAUACAUGGAUUUUCCACCGCGGGGCAGAGCGCGGAGUGGGCAGCCCUUCCCACCUCUUGUUCAGGGAUCAACUGUUGGAUGUUGCUGCUCUUUUUAGCCCAGUGAAGAGCAAGCAUGUAAACUGGCCACUAGGUGUCGGCAUUGAGCCGCACGUGCACCUUCCAGCCACUGGUGAGCAGUUAACCCUGAGCCCCUCCCUGCCUUGUUCCAGGGGCCCUUUUACAUCUCAGCUGCCCAAAGAGGUAGGCACGUUUCCCCUUUUACCACGUUUUAUAUUUAAGGGAAGAGGGUCACAGGGGUGGAAGAACUUAGUCUGAGGUUAAACUGCUAGGAAGUGGUAGAACCCAGAUUUAUACCAGCAGCUUGGCUUCUGAGUCCAGGCUCUCGUCCACUCUUGUCCCACUGCCCUCACCAUAAAUAAGGAGACCACAGGUUUCCUGAGGCCUUUUCAGCUGGAUUAAAUAGGACACCAUUACUGUUUAGCAUUUAUUUUCCCUGAAAUUGCACUGUAAAAUGCCAACUCAGAAGCCAGUCUCCAUCAGCUGUUGUAUGUUUUCUAGGAGCCCAUGAAGUCAAGACUUUCAAAUUGUCUCACCACCAAACCAACGGUUCCCAGCACAGUGCCUGGCACAUAGUAGGUAUACAAUAAAUCUGCCAGUGAAUAAAUGAAUUGUACACAUUGAGCGGUAAGAUAGGCUAAAGAUUAAGUGCGUGGAUUCUGGCACCAGAUUGUGGGGCUUGAAUUUCAGUUCUGCAGGAGCCUCGUGACCUCAGACAAGUUUGCAUCUUUGUAAAUCUUACAUCAUCCAAGGUAAAUUGGGGAUAAUCAUGGCACCUGCUUCAGAGGCGGUUGUAGUAAAUGAGUAAAUUUAAAACAGUGCCUGGAGUUCCCGUUGUGGCGCAGUAGAAAUGAACCUGACUGGUAUCUGUGAGGACUCGAGUUCCAUCCCUGGCCUCCCUCAGUGGGUCAAGGAUCCAGUGUUGCCAUGAGCUGUGGUGUAGGUUGCAGAUGCGGCUUGGAUCCUGUGUUGCUGUGGCUGAGGCCACGAGGUGAAGGUGCCGUGCACCUUUCCAGCUGAUGGCGCCCGCUGGGGUCCCAGCCAGUAGCCCCAGCAUCAACCACCUGACAAAUGAAGAUGACCCUGGCCAUGGAAUCCCCCCCGCCCCCCCAGCGUCAGUCUUCCUAGCUGAGGCCUCAGACAUUGUGGGACAGACAAGCUGUACCCCAAACCCUUCCAAAUUCCUGACCCUCAGAAUGAGGAGAAUAAUAAAAAUGGUGGUUAAUGUUACACCACUGAGUUUGGGGUGGUUUGUCACACACCAAGCAGUAGUAAGUGGAACAGCAUGUCUGUCACUAGACGGCGACCGCGUCUGCCGACAUACGUGCUAGUCAGGUGUUUACAUCCCCGAGGUCUCCUACCCUCCUAGGAAGAUGGCUGCACAUCUGCGUCAGAGAAGUGUAGCACCUGCAAAUCCCCUCCCAAUGCCUCUGCUGAGAAAUCCUGUCUAAUGCAUGUCUCUGUCCCCACUAAAGCAGAAAGAAGCUGUGGCUGAUGUCACAACAGGCCUGCAACUUCUGCCAAGGAAGGCCCUUUGCUGGAAAACCCUAGAUGGCCCCUACGGCAGUUUGGCUGGACAGGACUGACUUGGCUGGGGGCAGAACCCCAGCGUGGCCACCUCUGUCCCCUUUUAGAAUUGUUCCACUACUCUUCAGCAGGAGGUAGGUAAUAAAUAGUAAACCUUAAACAGUAUGCCCCGUGGCCGACACGAACUCAGCCCGCAGAACAGCUGUGUGACGUUGGUAUUCGCAGCACCCGCUUCUCCAGAUAAGCAAGUCCCCAGGCAGAGGUUAACAUGUAGCAUGACAGCGAAGUAGUGGUGGAGCCAAGUUUUGGGCCCAGGCUCCUAACCAGUAGCCUAGGCUGCCUUUGCUAGCGCUAACGGAGUUUUUUAUUGAUAGAUUUUUCAAAUAAGUUACAGGGUAUAAUAUUCAAAAGCCAUGAAAUCAUAGAUAGUAAAAAAACGUCUCCCUGUCAAGGACCUAGGCCAAGGACUGGUCUAUCCUUUUUUUUACUUUGUCUUUUUAUCGCUGUGCCUGCAGCAUAUGGAGGUUCCCAAAUCAGAGCUGUAGCCACUAGCCUACACCUACACCAGAUCUGAGCCUCGUCUGUGACCUACACCAUAGCUCACAGCAUUGCUGGAUCCUUAACCCACUGAGUGAGGCCAGGGAUCAAACCUGCAACCUCAUGGAUGCCAGUCAGAUUCGUCUCCACUGAGCCACAAUGGGAACUCCUGUUCUUUUAACAAUAAAAGUAGCAUCUGUUUAUUUUGCCCUUUCUGUGCCAGAAUGGCCACGCCUGGGAGCUUGCUAGAGACGCAGAGUGUGCCCCACCCCAGACCUGCCGAAUCAGAAUCUACCUCCCCACCAGGCAGAUGAGGGAGGGGUUAUGGCAGUGGUGUGUCCUCUGAAGAUGUUUGUCUUAACUGCAUAAACUUGAGCAACAGAGGCGCCCCACUAGGAACUUUCUGAGGGCUGCCUUGCGAAGUGCAUUCCCUGGGGAGUGCCGAGGGGCGACAUCUGGUUUCCAACCCUCAGAAAUACCGCUGCUUCAGGCACAGGCAUUCCCUGAAGUGGUGAUGAUAAUAAUUACCAUUUAUACAGGCGCUUGUCACGUGGCAUGUUGGCCUGUUUUCACUAGAUCAUUCCUCACAACAGCCUGAAGGAGGCAGGCGAGAUUAUUACCCCCACUUUACACACGAGAAAACUGAGGCCACGGAUACUAAAUAAUUUGCCCAAAGUCAUACAGCUGUUAAGUCAUAAGCCAAUCCCCUCACGUGUGACCAUCUCAUCCUUCCCGCCCGAGUUUAUUACCCAGCUUCCGCGUUUCCGGUGUCAUGGUUGGGGUCUUUCUUUUUUUUUAAAGAAAACAAAGAGGGAAAUAUUUAACAAGGCCAGAAGGAAAUAAACUCAUUCAAAU